GCCUUUACUGACGCUAAAGCUCGAAGGUGCGGGUAUCGAACAGGAUUAGAUACCCUGGUAGUCCGCACGGUAAACGAUGGAUGCCCGCUGUUUGCGAUAUACAGUAAGCGGCCAAGAGAAAUCGUUAAGCAUCCCACCUGGGGAGUACGCCGGCAACGGUGAAACUCAAAGGAAUUGACGGGGGCCCGCACAAGCGGAGGAACAUGUGGUUUAAUUCGAUGAUACGCGAGGAACCUUACCCGGGCUUGAACUGCAGCGGAAGGAUACAGAGAUGUUGACGUCCUUCGGGACCGCUGUGGAGGUGCUGCAUGGUUGUCGUCAGCUCGUGCCGUGAGGUGUCGGCUUAAGUGCCAUAACGAGCGCAACCCUUUUCAUCAGUUGCCAUCAGGUGAUGCUGGGCACUCUGUUGAUACUGCCACCGUAAGGUGUGAGGAAGGUGGGGAUGACGUCAAAUCAGCACGGCCCUUACGUCCGGGGCUACACACGUGUUACAAUGGGGCAUACAGAAGGCAGGAUCAUGGCAACAUGGUUCAAAUCUUUAAAGUGCUCCUCAGUUCGGAUUGGGGUCUGCAACCCGACCCCAUGAAGCUGGAUUCGCUAG
rnacentral:rRNA from 1 species